UUAGUUUAGUUCUGUACGCAC
ensembl:piRNA 21ur-4724 ncRNA